rnacentral:rRNA from 1 species
GGUUAAGCGACUAAGCGUACACGGUGGAUGCCUAGGCAAUCAGAGGCGAUGAAGGACGUGCUAAUCUGCGAUAAGCGUCGGUAAGGUGAUAUGAACCGUUAUACCCG